rnacentral:rRNA from 1 species
CCUACGGGAGGCAGCAGUGGGGAAUAUUGCGCAAUGGGCGAAAGCCUGACGCAGCGACGCCGCGUGAGGGAUGAAGGUCUUCGGAUCGUAAACCUCUGUCAGCAGGGAAGAACGGUCACUGUGCUAAUCAGCAGUGAAUUGACGGUACCUGCAAAGGAAGCACCGGCUAACUCCGUGCCAGCAGCCGCGGUAAUACGGAGGGUGCGAGCGUUAAUCGGAAUUACUGGGCGUAAAGCGCUCGUAGGCGGUAUGUCAAGUCAAGGGUGAAAUCCCCGCGCUCAACGUGGGAACUGCCGUUGAAACUGGCAAACUGGAGUGUGUGAGAGGAUAGUGGAAUUCCAGGUGUAGGAGUGAAAUGCGUAGAUAUCUGGAGGAACAUCAGUGGCGAAGGCGACUAUCUGGCACAUAACUGACGCUGAGGAGCGAAAGCGUGGGUAGCAAACAGGAUUAGAUACCCCAGUAGUC